GUACUCGUUUCAGCAGCCCAUAUCCUAAAAUUGCAAUGAGAGAGAGAAGAUUAGCAUGGCCCCUGCACAAGGAUGACAUUCAAAUUCAUGAAGUGUUCCAUCUUUUU